rnacentral:rRNA from 1 species
GUGUGAUUCGUCACACUAUCAUUAACUGAAUCCAUAGGUUAAUGAGGCGAACCGGGGGAACUGAAACAUCUAAGUACCCCGAGGAAAAGAAAUCAACCGAGAUUCCCCCAGUAGCGGCGAGCGAACGGGGAGCAGCCCAGAGCCUGAAUCAGUGUGUGUGUUAGUGGAAGCGUCUGGAAAGGCGCGCGAUACAGGGUGACAGCCCCGUACACAAAAAUGCACAUACUGUGAGCUCGAUGAGUAGGGCGGGACACGUGGUAUCCUGUCUGAAUAUGGGGGGACCAUCCUCCAAGGCUAAAUACUCCUGACUGACCGAUAGUGAACCAGUACCGUGAGGGAAAGGCGAAAAGAACCCCGGCGAGGGGAGUGAAAAAGAACCUGAAACCGUGUACGUACAAGCAGUGGGAGCACGCUUAGGCGUGUGACUGCGUACCUUUUGUAUAAUGGGUCAGCGACUUAUAUUCUGUAGCAAGGUUAACCGAAUAGGGGAGCCGAAGGGAAACCGAGUCUUAACUGGGCGUUAAGUUGCAGGGUAUAGACCCGAAACCCGGUGAUCUAGCCAUGGGCAGGUUGAAGGUUGGGUAACACUAACUGGAGGACCGAACCGACUAAUGUUGAAAAAUUAGCGGAUGACUUGUGGCUGGGGGUGAAAGGCCAAUCAAACCGGGAGAUAGCUGGUUCUCCCCGAAAGCUAUUUAGGUAGCGCCUCGUGAAUUCAUCUCCGGGGGUAGAGCACUGUUUCGGCAAGGGGGUCAUCCCGACUUACCAACCCGAUGCAAACUGCGAAUACCGGAGAAUGUUAUCACGGGAGACACACGGCGGGUGCUAACGUCCGUCGUGAAGAGGGAAACAACCCAGACCGCCAGCUAAGGUCCCAAAGUCAUGGUUAAGUGGGAAACGAUGUGGGAAGGCCCAGACAGCCAGGAUGUUGGCUUAGAAGCAGCCAUCAUUUAAAGAAAGCGUAAUAGCUCACUGGUCGAGUCGGCCUGCGCGGAAGAUGUAACGGGGCUAAACCAUG